UUUCCCUCCCAGAUAAGGAGAUGAAUGUCCUUCCCUGCAAUGUCUUCUAUCUCUAUGGUAACAGGUUGGAAUCUCCUGAUGGAUGGAAAUAUCCUUAUAUAUUCAGAGAGAAAACAAUUCUUUGAAGACUUGAUUAAUUUUAUUUUUGCCAUAUGUACAAACAAGAGCCUUAUGUUAGACCGAGUGCCAAAUGAAAAGCAGAACAAGCAAUCUUGUUUGGAACAGCAGAAAAACAUUCUGAGUGAGUGUGAAGUAAGGCUUCUGAGGAAAAUGGCUAUGAACAGGAAUGCCCCAAACCACACUUUCUGUGAAUUUCAUGUGAAAAAGUCACCAAAUGAUUGGGCCAUCAUAAGGGCCUAAUGCAAUGAGUACAAUGCCAGACACAAACAAGAGCGUCUAUAGGGAAUCCAUCUUCAUCUGGGACCUGACUCUGGAUCAUCUCCAUGAUGCUGAUGAACACCUUUGAUGAUCAUACAUCUCUCCCUGUUUAAUAAUAAUGA